GGAAGUAAAAGUCGUAACAAAGUCUCCGUAGGUGAACCUGCGGAGGGAUCAUUACAAGUGACCCCGGUCUUACCACCGGGAUGUUCAUAACCCUUUGUUGUCCGACUCUGUUGCCUCCGGGGCGACCCUGCCUUCGGGCGGGGGCUCCGGGUGGACACUUCAAACUCUUGCGUAACUUUGCAGUCUGAGUAAACUUAAUUAAUAAAUUAAAACUUUUAACAACGGAUCUCUUGGUUCUG
rnacentral:misc_RNA from 1 species